ACGUCUCUGCAGCGUUCAGGGGAGGGAUGGCGCAGCAUACAGAGGCAGGACAUGAAGGUUUUUUUUCUUCUGCACAUCAACUGCAGCGUUGGCCCUCAUCACCUGAAGCUCUCGAAUCGAGUUGUCUUUCCAAGUUGACAUCUUCUUUGGGGUCUUCUACGUGUAAAGCUGCUUUUAUUUUUAACCUGAUCCCUUUUGUUUUUCUCAGUUUUGCGUCCGUCUCGAGUUGGAGACGUCAUUAACUUGCCCACUUGAUCACGGUGGAUCCUCCAGACAUUACCCAGAUGGGCCCCUUCGGAUUUUUACCUGGGGGGUUGCAGAAAAAAAUCUGGAGAUUGACCAGAGCCUCCAACUGGGACAAUCGCGCCAUGUCUCUGUAGUUUCUCGGGAGGAGCUGAGUUUAUACGUCCCUUCAUGCCUCUGCCUGCUGCACCCGGCUGCUCCACCUCUCGCCUGAAUAAUACAGAGGAUUUGUUGCUGUUGAAAACACAUCUGUGCACCGAAGCUCCCGCCACGUUGUGCAUCUGUGAAAGGCAAACUCUUGGUAAACUCCAGAAUUCUCCAGACUUUAUCCGCAGGUCAUGUCUGAAGAUGGCUAUACAGUCCCUGUGAAAAGUUUCAGAAGAUUAUGAGGAGUUCAGUGCAUGUCUGAAUGAGACCUUAUUGAUCACGUCACAGAUAUGGCGCCUUAAGUGUGGGAGUAUUUUAGAAAGACACCCAACAAACCCACUCUGCAAAUUGGAAAUGCCUUAUCAGAGCCGAACAACUGCUCUGCACAGGCACUUGAAGUGAAAGCAGUGGAGCACUUUGUGGAGGCGGCAGAAAGACAGCACAGCACAGCACUUUUUUAACAUGCAGGACGUGUUUCUGUUGGUAGUAGUCACUUGGGAAUAUACAUUUUCUGAGUGUUUGUUCAUCACCAGUAAUUUUUGAACGUCUGCUGUUAUCUCAGAUGACUUGCCCAUGAUCAGUUAAAGUGAGGGAGUCUUUUUAGACGCAGGUCCAAUACUGGGGUUCUGUGUAAUCUUUGCAAAUUGUCUUCUCAAUUCAUCAUAUAUUGGGAUAAUCAACACAGGGAACGUGCUUCUGUUAGUUAUAACAGAUUUUUCUGAAUGUGUACUCAUCAGCCUGUCAAGAAUGUUGGCACUGCGGCAGCUGUGGGAACAUAACGUUGCACCUCAGCCAUUUAGUAUUUUUUUCUGUUUAGUUAAACCAACAAGAAAAUGUCUUAAACUGUUGUUAUAGUUUGUAUAUUUUGUUCUUUCUCCCACACUGAUACAAACAUUUUUUUUUUUUAACAGAAUAAUCCUCAUAGGACUUAAAUAUAGUUUAAAUAUAGAGUUUUGAGUCAGGUCUUUAGGUAAAAAUGUUGUUUUUCCAAUUCAGGAUUUAGUGGACUUGGUUCAGUUUAUAUUCCAUACACUGCACUAGUACAUUAAAUGAGAUGAGCAAAUAUAUUUUUUUUAAAUGAUUAAAUAACAACUAGGAAAAAAAACUGUGUAUAUGUACAAAUAUUUUAGUAUCAGUGUGGAUGCCCAAAUACCUGAAUAUCAAAUGUUUCUUCCUAGAUAUGUAAAACAGAUCAACAAACAACAUAGUGUUAUUACGUUUUUUCGACUCUCAAUGGAGACUCCAGAAGGGUUUUGUGGACUCAAACACUUCACCCACCCAUCCAUCGUCAUAGGGUGCAGUGGACGUCUGUCGUGCUGCUUCAGCACACUGUCACCAUGGCGAUCCCUGGGGAAAGGUCAUGAGCCGCCCGGCUGGGAUGGUUGAAGGUCCUCGGAUUGGCUACUGAUGCUGAUGACACAGACUGGCUGGCACACACUAGUCAUCCUUCAGCUGGCUCGUUGUCAAACUUUGUUGUUUCAGAGGAUCAGUUUUCCCCAAAGCUGUGGCUUCCUGGUCGAUGCUGUGCACAAUACACAAGUGUCCCUGAGGGCGGUUAGUAAUGUUUUUAGAAAAAAAGAUGCUUAUAGUUUUUCAUGUCGUAUUUUUCAUUUGACAGGGUAAUGUCAAAAAUGAUCAACAGUGAAACUCUCCACUGAUAACCAACACUCGUAAAAUUCUAUUAGGGGAGUUAACAGCUCCUCGUGUGCAAUUUCAGUUUCAAUCCAGCAAGUGAAGAGCACUCCUUGUCUAUUUAAAAACAGUAAAAGGCAUUACCCAUCUUUUACAAGUGUUCAGUUAAUGAGACAAACCUAUCCACUUCGCACCUGCUCAUUUAUUUCUGUAGAGUGCACAUUUUAUUUCCGCCUAUUAGGCUGCUCUGUGAAAAACGAUAAUAGAUUUGCUUACAUUUACAUAUGAAACCUCUCCACUUACAAAUGCCUGCAUCUGUCCGAACCAUCUUUAACAGAACUCUUACAGGACACUUUCCAGCACAUUCACUCGUUCACACAGCUCUCCCAUAUUAGGUGUUUUGUUUGUCAUGAAUCUCCUUCACAUUGCUGCCAGCACAGCAGAAGUAAUUUGUGGGUUCAGUGUCUUGCCCUGUGAGACUUGAGCAUGGGGAGAGGACAAGCUGGGAAUCAAACCACCAACCCAGCCCUGCGGCCCAGUAUCAGCACAUGUUAAAAGUGAAGUGAUACAUUCAGUUGAAAUAAUAGCAUAGGGCAAUUCAGCAUCAGAUCAUCCAGAGAAAGAUGUGUUCAAUCCCCUCUUCCCUCACUGAUGUGUGAGUAUGCAGCAAGAUGCCAGUGCUGGACAUGAACACACGCUCACACCAGCAUUUAGAGGAAUCCAUUUCAACUUUGAUAUGUGAAAUUGACCCAUAGCAGACCAUUUCCUAAGUGUUGACCUUUGCAUGGCCGUCCAGCUGUAUUCCAGCUCAGCUCCCACGAACAGCAACGCACUGUGAGGUGAUUUUUAGCAGAGUUGCCACAAUUGGAAUUUCAGGUUUCAUGAGGCUGACCAGACAUUUCCCAUAUAAAAUCAUUUAAAAAGUAAUGGCUGAGCAAUAUACUGCCUCCAGCUGAUUACAAUUCAAAUAAGAAUCAAUUAGAGGCCACUAGGACAAUAUUUUCUAAGCCAGAUUAGUGAAUUAUUAAUUUUUCAACAUGAGGUCAACUGGAAGUCAGACGGAUUAGAUGUUUGAUGUGGACCGUGACUUUGUUUUGGUCCAUCCACUAACAUGGAGGAGACAGAGUUUCAAGAUGAUUUGGCCUCACUUUUGGGCAGUUGUCAUGUUGUCCAUCUUUAUAUACAGUCUAUGCUUUACAAUAAAGUGUCACUUAAAUACCAGUAUUAAAAUAACGAUUGAGUCUUAAAAAAACAGCCAGGACCAUAGUGAAUAAAUAAAGGCCAGCAGCAACUUAUUCUAGAGUAGAAUUUAAAAAAUAAAGUUGGGAGUUUAAGUACCAGUAGCCAACUACAGUGGCUCAUGGGAUAUAUUUGGUGUCCAAUGCCCAAUUCUACAGCACCAUUUCCAUCAGUAAAACUGUAAACUGAUUAUAAUGUCUCUCAUUUUUCACAUUAAAAUCCUUCUCGUUAAUGGUUGGCUGCACAUGUUUUAAUGUGAAAGCUCGGGAGGAAGUGUGCUUUCAUGCAUGGCAGCUUUGCCUCAUUCGUAGGGAAACAGACAUGUUGGAAUAUCUGAUGAGACACAUGCUGUGCUGAUGGAAAUUUUACAGUAGAAAUUCACCUAAUUCUGAAUCUAAGAGACAACACACGGAGGAGGCUUUGGUUUAAAAUAAGUAGGGGACAAAUUUGGAUUAAAUGAGAAUUAUCUUGCCUGUCCCACAUAAAACCUGCAUCUCCCUGUAUGUGAUAAAGCACGUAUUUAACAAGGGCGCUUAGCUGAACUUCACUGUCCCACUCUGUGACAAGGCACUUAACCUAAGUUCAUACAGCACAGCACAUUCAACAGACAUUUCAAAGAUCCACAUCCACAGACACCGCCGUGUCCCGUGUACCAUGGCAACAGAACAUGAAAUCGUUAGAUUCACAUACAGUAAGUGAUGCUGACAGUCGCCCUGGUUGGGCUUAAUCAAAACCGAGAAAAUCAACUUGACUUCUAAAUACACUCUGCUCGCUGCUGUCAUCCAACAGAGGCAGAGCAGUCACCUCUCAUUAGACAUGCGGCUGUCACACACAGCCAAAAUGCAUACAUCACAGUCAUCACAGUGGGGAGUUUAAUACGCAGGGUUCCCUACUGAUUGCAGGGAGGAAGGUAAGCUCGGAUGUUUAUAUUUCUAAAUCCCACAGUACAAGCUGAAGCUGUAGCUCUGACUGGGUUGCAUUGGAAGGGUGAAAAUAGCAGGAAGCGUUAAUUUACUGCCCCGUGAAAUUUAAGACUCCUGCUAUGUUUUCGUUUGAAAACUGCAUUUUCAAACUAAAUAUCAGUUUUAAUCCCCAUCCAUACUAACACGCUUAAAAAUGCAUAUUAUUACAUGUCAUUUGGCGGAUGCUUUUAACCAAAGUGAUUUACAAUUAGUGCAUUCAACAUCUAUGAGGGGCCAUUUGAGGGGUUCAGUAUCUUGCUCAAGGACACUUAGGCAUGCAUAUGGGGAAAACUGAACGGCCAGCCUUCUGGUCGGAGGCCGACGCCUCUACUCCUCAGCCAGAGUCGCCACUCACAUACACCCGGCAUGCACGUGCUGGUGUACACAGGAAGCAUUUGGUUGUUGGUUGCAGAAAGAGCGAGAUUUCUCAAAUGAUAGCUUGUCUCCAAACAGCUAUUUGCAGAAACAACAGGGUCAGCAAGGAUUGUAAUUGAUCCACGAUGCAUUCUGCACUUAUAGUCGAGGCUAAUGCUGGCUGUUUUCUUCUGGAAAGGGGUCAUGCAAUAGCAACCUGACCAACCAGGGAAGGCUAUGUUGUGACCAAAAAGACCCAAUCAGCAAGCGUUUGUUUCUGCCCAUCCAGAAUAGAACGCAGCAUUUCCAAACCUCUCAAUUUCAGCAGCUGUAAAACUCCAGUGUAGUGUGGACACCAGGCGUAUUCAUAACAGAGUUGAUGGAUUAUCAAAUUAAAACUUAGUAGUAUAGGUGUACCCUCAAACACCAUCAGAUAACAUAGAAACAGUUUUGAUGUAAUUGCUGAUUAACCUGGUUCUCAACAAAAAUGUUCACAGUUCACCUUCACUAGAAACAGCUGCAGGAAGAACAAUCUGAACUCAAGUUCUUGUUACACACUGCUUGCCUCUUCUUCUUGUGCUUGCUUUUGUCCCACAGUCCAAAGACAUGCAGGCUAGACUGGUUUCUAAUCUUCCCAUAGUUGUGAUGCACGAAUGGUUGUUUGUCUUUAUAUUUCAGCCCUGUGAUUGACAGCGACAUGACCAGGAUUUACCCCGCCUCUCACCCUUUGUCAGCUGGGAUUGAGCUACCUCAACUGAUUACCUGAUUAUCUCAACUUCUAAUUCCAGUUGACUCAUCACCUGCAGCUUAAGACCUCUUCAGUGUACAUUCAAGAAAUGGUUUAUGUUUCUUUUAUGUUCAUUACUUAUUCCUGUGUCCUUGCUCACUGCCACAACCAACCUCCACCUGCUCACCUGUUGUUUGGUUCCUACCAUGCCGUGUCAACCAGCCACCCACAUCUUACAUCAGCCUGCCCCCUGCUCCACCAGUGCUUGCCCAGUGAUCAAGAACCCUACACCUUUUACUAGAAAUUCAACACCGGACUCUUUACCAAUGUGUCAAUGUCCGCUUCUGGGUCAGCCGUACACAAUAAAUUGAACAGCUACCUAUGUUUCAAAUGGUUGGCAUCAUGGAACAUGGUGGCAGCUGAUCAUGGCUUAUGAAUAAAACUAGAUAGCUGCCUUCAUCUCUGUCAUACAUUUUCCUACGGACAAUUACUUAACACAUCUGCAUUCAUGUUAGGCGCCGUCUGUUCUCAUUAAUGUUGUAAAUGGUGUUAUUUUAUUGAUGUGCUCAGCUACUUGCGGCAUCUAUUGCACUUCUGUCUCCUUUAGGAGAGGGAUCCCUCACAUGUAGCUCCGUCUGAUGUUUCUCUUUAUUCCCCUUUUAAUAGGUUGUUUUUUUAGGGCCCAAGCACCGAACCGGUGGGAGGCCAUAUUGAAAUUGUAAGGAUUAUUCUUAUAAUUAUUAAUCUACCCCAAAUGAAUUGGCUUUUUGAGGGCUUCAACAUGGUCGCAAAUCUUUUAAAAUUUGCAGUAAAUUAAAAAGUGGUGAAAAUGUACGUAUUCUGGAGUAUUUGGAAAUGGGCGUGGCAAAAUGGCUCAACAGCACAACCUGGAACACAGCCCCUAGUUUUGUUUUCUUACUCUUAAGGGUUGAGGGCAGGGGAUGUCACACGUAAUUAGGCCCUAUGAGGCAAACAGUGAUUUGUGAAUAUAGGCUAUACAAUAAAAACUGAUUGUUUGAUUUAUUGAUACCGCCGAUGAUGUAUCUGCAUCUUCACUGCAAAGUCCACUGUUCAAGUCCAGUGUCUUUUUGGAAUAUAGGUAGGUGUAAAUAAUCAAAUUAUAUUGCCUUGGCCUGAUUUUUUCAUCAAGAACCAUAAAUAAUUCCCUGAGGAAAAUGACGAAAAUGUUGAAAAGCGUCCUACCUCGCAUUUUCAAGAGUGAAAAAUAUUCCUGGAUCAACUCCCUGAUCCAGAUCUGCACCACCUUAAUGGGUUCUUCCCUGACACAUACCACAUUUUUCCAUCGUUGUCAUGGAGAUCCAUU